AAACACAAUUCGCAUCUGCCCUAGUCUCUAAACACAACGCAGCUCUGCCUCCCUCUAUCCAUCUCUCAAAAUUUGUAUUUUCUCAAAGCAAAGGUUGCGAUAUUUGUUGGUUUGUGAAUAGCAGGUCUACCCUAGUUUUCAACCUCGCUCGUUUGCGAAUCCCAGGUUCAAUAUGAAACCAUCAAAAAUUGAAAAUGAGGUGGGAUCAACUAUGAAGAUUGCUGUCAAAUAUGCAUUCGCCACACCAGGUGUUAUAAGAAAGGGACAAGGACGAGGAUGAUGUCUUAGAUCUUUGGUUGAGAAAGAGAAUAUGCCAACUAAGAGUUUAUUUCCUAAAUCUAGUGAUCUAGUUAAGCAAUACAUCCAAACAAUUGAAACAAGUAAAAAUUUUUAAAUCUAAUCUUUUAAAUUUGCAUAACUGAAUUUAAAUGCUUAAGUGUUAGUAAUCUAAUUUCUUUUCGCCAAGUGCUAUAGGGAAGGGACGAGGACAAGGGCUUAAAAACUCUUCCAUGUCUGCUAGUCAAGGAACGAUAUAUAAAAACUGUAUCGUUCUUGAGAAAGAGUAUAUGAAAAUUUCAUUGCCUCCAUCUGCUGAUCAAGUUAAGCAAUACACCUAAAAGGUUCUAUAAGGAAGGGACGGGAGCAAACGCCUAGAUCUUUGUGCUCCUCUUUAGGGAUUUCUGAAAAUGAGGUGGGAUCUUUCCCUAAGAAUGCUCGUUUUGCUAAUCAACGUAUGCAAACUCCUUCUAAAAGCACAAGAUCAAAUUUUACCAUGUCUUCUAAUCAAGAAAUGCGAAUAAUGGAUAGAAACUCUAUGGUUCUUAAGAAAGAGCAUGCAGUUGGAACUUCAACUGAUCAAGCUAUACAACACUCCCAAACAGUUAAAACAUGUAUGACAUUUUGAAUCCAUGUGUUAUUAAUUUGUAGAACUAAAUUUUGUUGC